rnacentral:rRNA from 1 species
CUGACGACCGGCGCACGGGUGCGUAACGCGUAUAGAACCUACCUUUUACAGGGGAAUAGCCCAGGGAAACUUGGAUUAAUGCCCCAUAGUAUCAUUAAGUAGCAUUACUUGAUGAUUAAAGAUUUAUCGGUAUAAGAUGAGCAUGCGUCCCAUUAGUUAGUUGGUAAGGUAACGGCUUACCAAGACAUCGAUAGGUAGGGGUCCUGAGAGGGAGAUCCCCCACACUGGUACUGAGACACGGACCAGACUCC